UGUAUAGGCACACUCUCAAACAUGGCCUCUGCUGACAGCACCCGCAUAAUCGGUGCGUCCGCAUCCCUUCCACCUUCUCGUCACUUUUCCUUUCUUCUUCUCUGAGCCAACCAUUCACCCUCAUCCUCUUCAUCUUCUUCACCAAUAUCAUCAUCCAUCCCUGUCUCAGCCUCCUACCACCGUACCACCACCGGCGACUCAACCCAGCCGCCGCACCCUUUUCGGUGCCCCAACCCGUUCCAGCUCGCUCUCCUUCUCUCACUGAACAACGAACCUGUCUCCGUCUCCAUGGCCAUCGUCACUGAACCUCCAGCCACCCGCCACCAGGACCGCCGGCGACCGCCGCAGUCGCCGUGCCCCUCACCCCAUCUCUCCUCCCUGUCUCAGCUUCACCUUCUUCUUCUCCUCGCCUUCCCUCCGCCGAGAUCCCCCUCUUCGCGCCGGCAACCCUUAUCGCCGCCAGCGCCACACCGCGCUCUGCAACCGCGGCUUUCUCCUUCUCUCUUCCUUCUCUUCCCCUUCCCCGUUUCCCGUUCACACCUCUCCGCGAAGCCCAGAACCCACCGCGCUCCCUUCCCUCUGUCCGAACCCUAGCUCCCCGAACCACCACCGCGAACCACCGUAGCCUCCACCAUCACCUUCGCGCUAACCCAUAGCCCACCUUCCGCACCAGCAAUUUCCUCUUCUCCUUCCCAGUGCGUCUCAACACCUUCCCUGCCUCAGCUCCCUCACUGAACUGAACAGAAGCUUCAGCCCCUGGCCGAGCCUUUCUCCCCUGUUUCUCUUCACUGCCUGCAACAACCAGAAGGGGGCAAAGCCCUGUCUCCACUCCACUGCCCCUUCCCCACUGCCACUACGCCAGCGUCGCCACUAGACCACCUCUGGGCCGGCAUCCCUCUGCUUCUGUUUCCCCUUCUCCUGUCCCUUCCCUUUCUCUGUUCUGUUUCUGCCCUUCCAGUUUUCUGCUUAUGAGCAUCUAAGGAGGAGGAGGCCUAGCGUGAUGAACCGGAGGAGGCAUGGGACAGUAGAGGUGAUGCAGUGACGAUCCCUUCCACUCCGCAUGAUCGUGAGCACCGAGGAUGGUGAUACAUUUUAAGUGUGGGGAGGUUGUGCAUCUUCAGCAAGCGCAUUUUGGACUUACAAGACAAGUAUGGAUUGAAGAAGUAGAAGGAAGCAUGCAAAAUGGGAGAAUUCAAGAAAUGAAAGAUUUGUAAAGCUGUCAGCCCUGACCUCUCGGUACUAAAGUGAUCAUAACUUCAGCUACAGAGGUCCAAAUAAGGCGGUUUCAGCGGCAAUGGAAAGCUAACGUCCGGAGCUUCAAAAUGAUAUAUAAUUUGCUAUAGUGGACACAAGUUGAAGUGUGCGUACGCACACAAUUUGUUCGUACGCACAAGUCAGAAAACAGCAAGUGUGCGGACGCACACAUCUGUGCAUCUGCACAUGUCCUGGCACGUGAGCUCAUUAACUGGAAAUCGCUGGGGGCGAUUUCUGGGCCUCCAAAACCCAAUCUAACUCAUUUCUGAAACUAUUUUAAGCCAAAUUGAAGGAAGAUGAAUGGGGCACUUAAGUUUAGAUUUUUACAUAUUUUUGUUAGUUUUCUAGAGAGAGAAGCUCUCCUUUCUCUCUAGAAUUAGGGUUUUUAGCUUAUUCUCUCUUUAAUUUCUCUCUUUAAUUCUUAUUUGGAUGUAGUUUCAUUUAUGUUUCCAAGCUUUGUUAUCUUAGUUCUCUUAGUUCUUCUUAAUUUCUCUUUUAUGUCAUUUUCAUUUUAUGAACACUCUUGUCACUUUUAAUUUCAUUUAAUGCAAUUUUGAUAUUUUGUUUCUCUUUAA